UACGGGGGGAGCAAGCGUUGUUCGGAUUUACUGGGCGUAAAGGGCGCGUAGGCGGUCAGCACAAGUCAGUUGUGAAAUCUCCGGGCUUAACUCGGAAAGGUCAACUGAUACUGCGCGGCUAGAGUGCAGAAGGGGCAACUGGAAUUCUCGGUGUAGCGGUGAAAUGCGUAGAUAUCGAGAGGAACACCUGCGGCGAAGGCGGGUUGCUGGGCUGACACUGACGCUGAUGCGCGAAAGCCAGGGGAGCAAACGGG
rnacentral:rRNA from 1 species